AUUCCGGAACGGGAAGAAGGAGCUGUCUCUCUCUUCUGAGGGGUAGGCAGGUGCUUCCGAAUCGCGGAAUGUAGGUGCUCAUAAGCUGGAGACCCACGGAAAGAACCUAGAAGCUCCGAGCGGUUGCAGACAGCACUGCAUUGAGCCAACGACUCCUGCUCUACUGAUGGUGAUUCCACAGCUUUGUGAGGAAUAAGUUAAGAUGAAGUCAGUGAAGUUUUCUGCGAAUUGCAAACAUUGUAGCAAGUGUUACCAAUUUUAUUAGUUCGACCACGACUUCACUCCUAUAUUUUGAAAAGCUGUUUGCCAAAUUGAACAUAACAAUAAUGGGAAAACAGAUUUUGCUCAAUCAGACCCAGCUCAGUCGGAACCUAGGUUUAUUGUGGAUCUGAUAUAAUUCUAGCACAAAACAAGGAAACCUAGCAUUUAAUACCACCAGAAAAUAUACAAUUUCUGGUAGGCUUUUUUAGAAUAUUGAAAAUUGAUUAUAGGCGGGCGCGGUGGCUCAUGCCUGUCAUCGCAGCACCUUGGGAGGCCUAGGGGGUCGGAUCACCUGAGCCUGGAGGUGAGGAUCAGGCUGAACCUGAGGUUAGAGACCAGCCUGGGCAAGAUAGCGAAACCCCGUCUCUACAAAAAGUACAAAAAAUUAGCUGGGCAUGGUGGCAGCAGGCCUGUAGUCCCAGCUACUCGGGAGGCUGACAUGGGAGGAUUGCUUGAGCUGGGGAGGUUGAGGCUGUAGGGAGCGGAGAUCCCUACACUCCAGCCUGUGAGACAGAGACCCUGUCUCAAAAAAAAAAAUUUUUUUCAUUUGCCGCAUUCUAAGGGGUGGGAGUUAGAAACAACUGUGUGAUUUUAUCCUUUUCAAUUCUAUCAUUCUAUGAUUCUUAUAUAUUUAUUUGGGAAUAAAGUGUGAAAAUACUCAUGACUUAGUAAACUACGUGCGUAUUCAAGGAGGUAAAGGAAGGCAAAGGUUUUUAAAAUUUAAAAAAAAAUGAGAAUUACAUAAUUGUUUUUAAACCGUUAUCCUUGGCUACGAAGAUCAAUAACAAGGUGACACCAGUCGGAAACUGGACAGGAAGUUGCUGGGCAGAUGUUUUUGCGGAAGUAUUUUUUGUGUAAGAUUGUGGCUUUUGGCCAGGUGCGGUGGCUGAGGCCCAUAAUUCCAACACUUUGGGAGGCCAAGGCGAGUGGAUCACCUGAGGUCAGGAGUUCGAGACCAGCCUGGCCAACAUGACGAAACCCUGUCCCUACUAAAAAUACAAAAAUUAACCGGGUGUGGUGGCAUGCACCUGUAAUCCCAACUACUCGAGAGUGUGAGGCAGGAGAAUCGCUUGAACCCAGAAAGCGGAGGUUGGAGUGAGCCAAGGUCGUGCCACUGUGCUCCAGCCUGGGCAACAGAGCAAGACUCCAUCUCAAAAAAAAAAAAAAGAUUGUGGCUUUUGCAGGUUUUUGUGAUAGUUUUUGUCAUCAGGUGUGCAAGCAUGAGACCCCUUCUCUUCAUGACCUCUGAAUCUAUUUUUCAGUGUUUUAAAAAAUAUAUUAGUGACUACCUCCCACCCCCUUUUGUUUAAGAGAUGGGGCCCCCCACCCCCUUUUGUUUAAGAGAUGGGGCCCCCCACCCCCUUUUGUUUAAGAGAUGGGGCCCCCCCACCCCCUUUUGUUUAAGAGAUGGGGCCCCCCACCCCCUUUUGUUUAAGAGAUGGGGCCCCCCACCCCCUUUUGUUUAAGAGAUGGGGCUGGGAUGCAGUGACUGUUCACAGGCAAGUCUAUAGCACAGUACAGCCCCCAAAUUCCUGGGCUCAAGCAAUCCUGCUGCCUCAGCCUCCCAAGUAGCUGGAACUGUAGGUGUGUACCACCGAGCCCAUAUAAUUCCAUUUUGAUUACGACAGCUUUCACGGAAAUUAGGCAUUAAGUAGGGUAAAAACAUUUAUAAUGUUUUAAAGAUUAAUUUUUUAGGAGAUUAAUCUUUCAGAAGAGGUGGGAAAUUAGGAACAAAGACUAGGAAAAAUUAAAGCAGUUCGAGCGUAAAUGAUAAGAUUCUAGAUUAGGAUGGUGACAAAGAAAGGGAAUAUUCUGAGAAAAACACUAAGGAACUGAUGGUAUAAAGUUUAAUUACUCUCUGUAAAACUGUCUUUACCAUCCUUGAGAGUAUGACCCAUAUCUGUCAUAUUCAUCACUGUCUAUAUCAGUGCUUGACACAAUGGUCAAUAUGUUGAUUAAGUAAAAAUGAUGAAACACAAACAGAAAUGACUCCAAACAUGACUUCUGGGUAACAAUAACGUAGUGACAAGAUUGGAGGUGUCCAGUAGAUGGUUUAGUUUUGAAUGUUUUGAAUGAGUGUGGGAUGAAAAAAACUCAAAGAAUAGGCAGUGGUCGAAAACACAGGGUUAAGGCACAGAAGAAAGUUCAGCACAUGAGAGACAUUUGGAAGUUACUAAGGGCAUAGUAUAUCAUCAUCAAAUAGUUAUUAUGGACCUAUUAUUUGCUAAACAUAUUGCUUCCCCCAUGAUUCUCAAACAUCGGUGCCCAGAAGAAUCACCUAGAGAGCUUGUUAAAAACCAGAUUUCUGAGCUCCACCUUAUGAAUAUGCAUUUGUACCAGCACCCAGGUGAAUCUGAGGCAAGUGACUAACACUUUGAAAACACUGUGAUUGGCCGGGUGCGGUGGCUCAUGCCUGUAAUCCCAGUACUUUGAGAGGUUGAGGUAGGUGGGUCACUCGAGGUCAGGAGUUUGAGACCAGCCUGGCUGGCAUGGUGAAACCCCGACUCUACUAAAAAAAUACAAAAAUUAGCUGGGAGUGGUGGCAUGCUCCUGUAGUCCCAGCUACUUGGAAGGCUGAGGUAGGAGAAUUGCUUGAACCCAAGAAACCCAGGAGGCAGAGGCUGCAGUGAGCUGAGAUCGCACCUCUGCACUCCAGCCUGGGCAACAGAGUGAAACUCCGUCUCAAAAAAAAAAAAAAACAAAAAACACAACACUGUCCUGUGAUUGAUAAUGUAGAGAAUGUGAAAGAGUUUCCUUCCAGGCCAGGUGCAAUGGCUCACGCCUGUAAUCCCAGCCCUUUGGGAGGCUGAGGUGGGUGGAUCACUCAAGGUCAGGAGUUUGAGAACAACCUGGCCAACAUGGUAAAACCCCAUCUCUACUAAAAAUGUAAAAAAUUAGCCAGGCAUGGUGGCGCAUGCCUGCAAUCCCAGCUACUUGGGAGGCUGAGACAGGAGAAUGGCUUGAACCCAGGAGGUGGAGGUUGCAGUGAGUCGAGAUCGUGCCAUUGCACUCCAGCCUGGGCGACAGAGUGAGAGUUUCCUUCCAAGUUGCUUAUGCUGAGGACUGCUGUGAUUUGAAUGUACCCACCAAAACUCAGGUUGAAAUGUAAUUGCCAUUGUAACAGUGUUGAGAGUUGAGACCUUCAAGAGGUCUCAUGAUUAGGUCAUGAGGAGUACUGUUAGUUAUUGCAGGAGUGGGUUCCUAAUAACUGGAUAAGUUUGGCUCCCAUCUUGCCUCUCUGUCUCUCAUGCUGUCUUGGGCCUUUCACCAUGAGGUGACCCUCCCCAUAUGCAGGCACCGUGCUCUUGGACUUCCCAGGCUCCACAACUGUGAGAAAUAAAUUUAUUUUCUUUAUAAAUUACCCAGUCUGUUGUAUUCUGUUAUAGCAGCAGAAAAUGGGCUGAGACAGAAAGUAGUAUGACCCCAACUGAGAAGUCUCCUAGGGGGAAAGAAAAAAAAAUCAUCAGUUCUUAGUAUUACCUCUUUGGAAUGUAUUUUUUAUAAAAUCUAAAUUCACAAAAAGAAGCUGAGAGUAUGUGAUGCAAUAGAGCUUCAUUUUUGUACCAGAUAAAUGUACUGGCUGAAUACAUAAUUGUAAUGACUGAAAGUACACAGUCCUUAUUAAUUUCUACUGGCAAGAUCUUCUGGGAAAGCAGAAGAAAAAAAGAGGAAGCAUGGUGAAACACACACAACACACAAGAAGGAAGACAACUUAGGAGAAGUAACAAAUAGGAGAAGAAAACAAGAAAAAAUGAAAAUAAUGUAAAAUGAAAACAAAACCCACAUAGUUAAAAGAAUACCAUCAUGUUGUUAAAUAUAAACCACAAAAAUUGACCAGAGAAAAUCCAGUCUUCUAGCAAAAGCACUGAUACUGUCUAAUGGAGUUAAGAUGGAAUGGAAUUACCAAGCGGAUUGAACUUUCCAGGCAUUAUUUCUGAGGUGUCUUAUCCAAAUGUAUUUUAGGAAGAUAAGGCUGCUGGUUUCCAUCUACAGCUAGCUCUGCCCUUUGUAACAGAUUCCUGACUCACCUGCAGGGUUUACUACCUGCUUGCCCAGAUUGCUGUCUAACCAAAUAUCUGAGUGAACAAUAGUUUCCUGUUAAGUUUUGUUAUUAAGUUAAUGUGGUUGUCCUGGUAAAUUAGUAAUGUAAAAUAAACUGAAGAUGGUAUUAAAAAGCUAAACUAGGCCUGGCACAGUGGCUCACACCUGUAAUCCCUGCACUUUGGGAGGCUGAGGCAGGCAGAUCACGAGGUCAGGAGUAUGAGACCACCCUGACCAACAUAGUGAAACCCUGUCUCUACUAAAAAUACAAAAAUCAGCCAGGCAUGGUGGAGCGCACCUGUAAUCCCAGCUACUCAGGAGGCUGAGGCAGGAGAAUCCCUUGAACCCAGGAGGCAGAGGUUGUGGUGAGCUCAGAUUGCACCACUGCACUCCAGCCUGGGCAACAGAGUGAGACUCUGUCUCAAAAAAAAAAAAAAAAAAAAAAAAAGGCUAAACAGAGGGCCAGGGCCAGCACAGUGGCUCAUGUCUGUAAUAAUAGCACAUUGGGUGGCUGAGGUGGGAGGAUUGCUUGAGGCCAGGAGUUCAAGAUCAGCCUGGGCAACAUAGCAAGACCCCAUCUCUAUAAAAAAAACUUAAAAAUUAGCUGAGUGUGGUGAUGCAUGACUUUAGUCCUGGCUUCUCAGGAGUUGAAAAGAGAGGAUUACUUGAGCCCAGGAAUUGAAGGCUAUAGUGAGCUGUGAUCACACCACUAAGGUGGGGCUGACAGAAAGCUAAAAAAAAAAAAAAAAAGCCUAAGAUUAAGAAAACCAACAUUGAUUGGAAAAAUAUUUAAUAGUUUUAUAUAUGGUGAAUGAAUACAUAUUUUAUGAAGGUAUAGGAAGGUUUAGAUCCACAUAAAGAUCAUAAGCCAAAACAAAAUUAGGUCUAAUGAAUUCUGUAAGAACACAUCAAUUGGUGUCAUUAUGAGGUGAUAUUAAAGGGCAGAAGGGGAAAAAAACUCACCUCACAUUGAAACAUAGCAGAUAAUGUUACAAGUCUUUUGCUCCAUGGAUUUGACCACCUGUGUCUGUAAUGUAAUAUAAAGUGAUCUGGAAAAGUGGAUAUAGUUGGAAUCAAGAAAUGUUUAAAACAGUACAUUGUCCAUUAUAAUUUGCAUCAAGACUCCUUCCUAGAUGGUGAGUGAUACUUUUCUGCCUAAUGCCUUGAGUAGUGUGUAAAUAAUAGCGCUUCUAAUACUGACUCCUAUCACUCCUGAAGUUAUUUUUAUACUAUGUAAUAUGAACUUAAUAUAAGUUCAUAGUCAAGACAGAACAAAAUCAUGAAAUGAUGAAAUAUAAUAUUAGUACUAUGUGGAAAAGGAGGAAAGGGUCCAGUGUGUCUGAGGCCCAAAGAGGUUCUGAGCUAACUUGAGUUCACAGCAUCAGUCCUAUACUGCUACACAUUGAGGAUCUGUUAUCUGAAAUGCUUGGGACCAGAAAUGUUUGAGAUUUUUCUGGAUUUUCGAAAAUUUACAUUACACAUACCAGCUGAGCAUCCCAAAUCCAAAAAUAUGAAAUCCAAAAUGCUCCAAUAAGCAUUUCCUUUGGGUUUCAUGUCAGUGCUCAAAAAUGUUGGAUGUUCUGAUUUGUUAUGCCCAACCUAUAGUAUUUUAUGGGUGUGGUUAUGUACAGUAAUGCUAAACAGAUUGAGUGUUCUUUACCUAAGCAACUUGGAAGUUUCAUGAUAAGAAAUUCGACUGGUGGCAAAGAGAAAUGAUGUAUACAAGUUUGGUUUAGGGAUAAAUCAUGGUUAUCAGAGAGAAGGAAUGAGCUUGAAUGUGAUGAAUAGUACUCAGAUGGCCUUCCAUACCAAUCCCCCUGGACUCAUGCCCAAGUUCUCAGGAGAGAAGCCUGCAACAAAAGAAUUACACCACUGAAUUAUAUAAGAAAUAGAAUGCUAAAGUGCCACUAAAUUGUGAACUUGUCUAAAGAACCCUGAAUGAAGAAUGGAUAGUAUUUGGAUACAAUAAUUUUGAUUAGAUGUAUAUAGCAACCUUGAAGAAAAGUUAGUUUUGGGGGCAUAUUUUUAACCUUUGAGGAUGAUCUGAAGUAAAGCAAGCUUUGCUCUGACAGUGAUUCCUCUUAUUCUCUGAAUCAGUAUGGUAAUUCUUAUUUUCGUAAUUUGCUUUAUUCAGGUACAGCAGGUAUGUCUUUUAUCACUGUAAGUCAUCCCUCACACAGACGCCUGAGCAUCUACCAUUAAACCAGUUCAUCAACUGCAUUUGCAUUUAUCACUUUGUUGUGAGAUAGUAGAAACUGGUAUUUCGCCUUCAGUUUGGAAAAAAUAGGUU
rnacentral:lncRNA from 1 species